rnacentral:rRNA from 1 species
CAGCCGCCGCGGGAAUACAGAGGGUGCGAGCGUUAAUCGGAUUUACUGGGCGUAAAGCGUGCGUAGGCGGCUUUUUAAGUCGGAUGUGAAAUCCCUGAGCUUAACUUAGUAAUUGCAUUCGAUACUGGGAAGCUAGAGUAUGGGAGAGGAUGGUAGAAUUCCAGGUGUAGCGGUGAAAUGCGUAGAGAUCUGGAGGAAUACCGAUGGCGAAGGCAGCCAUCUGGCCUAAUACUGACGCUGAGGUACGAAAGCAUGGGGAGCAAACAGGAUUAGAUACCCGAGUAGUCCCUGUCUCUUAUAC